rnacentral:sRNA from 1 species
GGAUGUGGGGGUGAUGUGGCUUCUACUUCAUUACCCCACUGAUGGCCAGGGUUGAUUCAGCUGAUCUGGAUGGUUAGACAUAUGUCCCUUUCCUUCCUCACCACUCCUCAACUCUCCUGAAGCCAAUGGAUUAAACAGAUAGUUGAAAAGAAUGACCUUGUCUCAUAGUGGAGGACAGGUUUUCGGUCAAGCUCAAAGCUACUUAGACCUUGACCAAUUUUACAAAAAUAAUAUAUAAAUAAUACUGAACAUCAUGGGAGGGGUAUAAUGAAUAUUUU